AGUACAACAAAAUAAUAUCUAAGCAAUGGGAAAUUCACUUAUGAUAGUUCAAUCACACGACUGGGUUCCAACUGCUGAUCCAAUUGGACAUCAUCUCCACAUUUUUGCUAAUGUCUUCAAUAGAAUCACUUCUCAGUGCCACAACUAUAUCCUCUGGAUAACUGUCUUUUGCCUCCUCUAGCAAAAUUUGAAAUAUUUCGCAUUCGAUAUUAUUGGUGAGCUUUUGGCCUGUGUAACCCCUUCUACUUAAUCUAUCAUACAAGACAGUAUUGUCGGUUUGAAGAACCACUACCCUGUCGAACCAACGUUCAGGAAAGAAAUCACAGCCAUGAUGAUCAACAAUGUUUCCACCUGUUUCCAUCAUGUCCUCGAGCUCAUCACAUACAAGGUCUUCAUUGAUGAUGUAACAGUCCAAGGUAUCGUCCCAUCCGUCGUGCAACUUUUUCUCUUUCACCAGUUCACCGAUGUUGAUAUGCCGGAGCUGCGUCGCCUCCGCCAGUGCAGACGACGUCGUCGUUUUUCCGGUGCCCGGCGUUCCGGUUAUCAGUAUGUUAGGUCUUCUCCUGCUACUGCUAUUGUGCG
rnacentral:misc_RNA from 1 species